GCCCUUUCCUGCGCGCGGGUCUGCAUCCGGGUCUCCGGGCUGGGUGCACCCCGCGUCGGCUGGGCGCGUUCGCAGGUUGCCAGGUGUCCGUCGGUAGUUCCAGCUGUUCCGGCAUCCGGAGAGUCUGUGUGUCCGCAGGUUUGAAAACCAUAGGUUACCGUAAUGAGACUUGUCAUUCUGGAUAACUAUGACUUGGCCAGUGAAUGGGCAGCCAAAUACAUCUGUAAUCGUAUCAUUCAAUUCAAACCUGGACAGGACAGAUAUUUCACACUGGGUUUACCAACAGGGAGUACACCUCUAGGAUGUUACAAAAAACUAAUAGAAUAUCACAAGAAUGGAGACCUUUCUUUUAAAUAUGUGAAGACUUUUAAUAUGGAUGAAUAUGUGGGACUUCCAAGAAAUCAUCCUGAAAGCUAUCACUCUUAUAUGUGGAAUAAUUUUUUUAAGCACAUUGAUAUAGAUCCUAACAAUGCUCAUAUCCUUGAUGGGAAUGCUGCAGAUUUACAAGCAGAAUGUGAUGCAUUUGAAAAGAAAAUAAAAGAUGCAGGAGGAAUAGAUCUUUUUGUUGGAGGAAUAGGUCCAGAUGGUCAUAUUGCUUUCAAUGAGCCGGGCUCCAGUUUAGUAUCAAGGACAAGAUUAAAGACACUAGCAAUGGACACCAUUUUGGCAAAUGCUAAAUAUUUUGAUGGAGAUUUAUCAAAAGUCCCAACUAUGGCUCUAACUGUUGGUGUGGGGACAGUGAUGGACGCUCGAGAGGUAAUGAUCCUUAUAACAGGUGCACACAAGGCAUUUGCCUUGUACAAAGCCAUAGAAGAAGGAGUCAGCCACAUGUGGACAGUUUCAGCUUUUCAGCAGCAUCCUCGAACUAUUUUUGUGUGUGAUGAAGAUGCUACUUUAGAAUUAAGGGUUAAAACUGUGAAAUACUUUAAAGGUUUAAUGCAUGUGCACAAUAAACUUGUGGAUCCACUAUUCAGUAUGAAAGAAGGAAUUUGAAGGAGACUGGAGCAAAAUUCUGCUUGAAAGAAAGAACACUUUUUUAUUACAGAAAUUUUCUGCUAUGCAAUAUAAUUAUGGGAAAUUUUGAAGAUUGCCAUUUAAAAAUACAUGUUAAACAUUCCAUCUUUAGAUUUAGAAGUAGUUUGUGCUUAAAUUUGGUUGGCUGUUUCUUAGAAAGUACAGAAGCUCUAUAGCCUCCUGAAAAAUAGCAUAGAAAUGAAUGUCUGCCUAGUUAAAGCUUGUUUUAGAAAGAUUCUGCACAUCAAGUGUGUCAUAGAUGUCUAUUUUUUAAUUAUGAAAUGACACUCCACAUCUUUCUGAUGUCAAAUCCCUAUUAUCACAGACCUUUGCUGUUGGAAGAAGCCUGUAUUUUCUGUGAGUCACACAUGUUUCUGCACGUGAUUGCCUUAGUCAUCUUUCUGUAGUAGUAACCUGGACAUCAGAUGUCCUGUUAUACAUUGCUGGUUAAGGAAAUCUGAAGAGAUAACAGUGCCUAAAAGUACAGUUUACAUCUUUUUGCAAAGUGUGUGUAAAUGUGUUUUUGUGUACCUUCUAUUGCACUUUUUUUACAAAUAUGCUUAUUUUUAUUUAAUGGUCUCAUAUCCUUAAUGAGUAUCUUGGCAGUUAUGAGCUUUAUACCUAGUUAGCUUCAAACUGAAGAUUAUUCUUUUGAAAAGUAUUUUGAUUAUUGUUAAAUUUCAUUAGCAGCUUUUGUUUCAUAUAUGUGAAAUGUCUAAAGUGAUAAAAUGAAGUGUAUAUAAAAGGAAUCACUGUAUACUAUUUAAGAUUGUCCUAACAAUUUGCAUAAUUAAAUUGCAAAUAAAAUUAUAUCGUUUUCUAUCUUUAACUCAAAUAAAGCUUACAACAUUAAUAAAAGAUUAUUUAAAUUUUAUUUGCAGAAGUGAAAUAAAGAACACAUGCAUUUGGGAGAUUCCAACUAUUAAUAGUCCCUUUUCAGGUUCAUCUAUGCAGUAGCCUUCUGGAAAGCAAAACACAUUAAGAAUCUCAAUGCACUGAAAAUAAAGCUGAGCCCUCCUAUAUGCACUAGCCGAGUUCUUCUUGCCAGUAGGUGGUUAGGCCAUUCUGUCAAGAGCUUUGGCCAAAUAUUAAAGAAUCAACUGUUGUGUUCUUCUGCAUCAUCAUCCUAUCUCACCCCUUUCUAACCAGCAUUCUUGCCAAGCUAUUACGUGUAACUUUUCUCAUCACUACGACAAAUACCUGGCAGAAACAACUUAAAGAGAGUGUGUUCAGCUCAUGGUUUUAGUACAUCAGGUGUAGGAAGGGUGUGGUAGAACACAGAAUUUGACAUGGGGACCAGGAAGCAGAAAAAAUGCCCGUGUCCUUGUAAAUGACUAAAAUUGUUUACUAAAAACAACUCUUACAAUCAUAAGUUAUAUAAUAAGUGUAAAAGCUAUAGGUGUCUUUUGGUAUGCUACUGUGUUGCUUCUGAGAUUUAAAGGUAUAAGAUCUCUUUCUCAUUAUAGCAAUGAUUAUGUUCAGGUCCUCCUCAAGUACUUCAGCAGAACUGUUCUCUGGCCAUUACAGCUCCCUAUCUCAGAAGAAACAAUGCUUUAAGAAACUUAGAAGCCUAUGAAAGACAUUUCACAAGGAGCAGUAAAUUUGUUUACCUUUGAAGAAGGAAACCAUUGUUCCAAGUUCUAUUUGUCAGUGAAAUCUAGACAAUAAAUGUCAGCUUCUUUCCA